rnacentral:rRNA from 1 species
GGUUGCGAUUAUACCAGCACUAAUGCACCGGAUCCCAUCAGAACUACGCAGUUAAGCGUGCUUGGGCGAGAGUAGUACUAGGAUGGGUGACCCCCUGGGAAGUCCUCGUGUUGCAACCC